AUUGAACGCUGGCGGCAGGCCUAAUACAUGCAAGUCGGACGGUAACAUAAGAAAAGCUUGCUUUUCUUGAUGACGAGUGGCGGACGGGUGAGUAAGAUUUGGGAAACUACCUGAUAGAGGGGGACAACAGUUGGAAACGACUGCUAAUACCGCAUACAGCCUCAGGGUGAAAGAAGCGAUUCGCUAUCAGAUGUGCCCAAACGGGAUUAGCUAGUAGGUGAGGUAAAAGGCUCACCUAGGCGACGAUCUCUAGCUGGUCUGAGAGGAUGAUCAGCCACAUUGGGACUGAGACACGGCCCAGACUCCUACGGGAGGCAGGCAGUAGGGAAUAUUGCACAAAUGGAGGAAACUCUGAUGCAGCCAUGCCGCGUGUGUGAAGAAGGCCUCGGGUU
rnacentral:rRNA from 1 species